rnacentral:lncRNA from 1 species
AGCCCUUAGAAUGAAUUCAUACAUGUUCUACAUAAAAUUCGUAAAUUGAAAAAUAUUUUUAUUUUUAUUUUAAGAAGUUUUUUCACGAUAGCCCUUUCCUAUAUAUAAAUAUAUAUAUGAAAAUGUUCAAUUGAGAAGCACAAAAAUGUUGAGAAGUGAGAAGCAAUCUAAAUAGGUGUGAACAAUUAGUACAUUUUUAUGAACAUGACAAUUAAUUUUUAUGAACGCGCGUUUGGGUUAGGGUUCGAUCACGUGUUUUUUUUAACAAAUUAAAUAGAUUCAUAUGUUUAUCAGUUAUAUUGGUAUGUUCAAAGCAUUUAUUGAUAUGUUCAUUAAUCUCAUUUCUUACGAAAAUCAAAUUCUCAAUAGAACCUAACCUUAUAUAUUCAACCUAACCUUAUAUAUUCUGAGAAUGCUAACUAUCGUGAGAAAUGAGAAUGAUUGCAUAAGUCAGUAUAUAGUGUUGCAUAAUCUACAGUAUAAUGCUGCAUAAAAUUUUUACCCGGAUUCGAACCUUAGAGGGAGCGAAAAAUUUAUCUAAUUAAUUGAAUUUUGUUAUGCAGUCAUUACAAGCAAUUUAGGAUUUGGGUUAAGGGGAAGGGAGAAGACGACAGUGGCGAGUUUUUUUUCUUUUGUUUUUAUUUUUAAAAUAUUACUCCCUCCGUCCACGAAUUAAAGCCCUACUUGUAUUUAAAUUUUUGUCCAUCAAUUAAAGCCCUAUUGUGCUUUUUGUACAUUUUUGUUCUUCUUCUUUUCCUAUAUUUACUACCAUUUCCCACCAAUGGACUCACCUUACAACAACUUUAUCAUUUUUAUAUUCUAUAUUUAUUACACUUUAUCACUAGUGGACCCACCACAAAACACCUUUAACACUUUAGUCAACUACUCUUAUAUUUCAUCCGCCGCCAUCCCUCCUCAUUCCCGUUGCCACUAAUGCUUCCUGCCGCCCCCACUGCCCGCUGUCACAUUCCCAUUCUCUCCUUGCCUUGCACCUUCUCCCUCCAAUCUACACACUUGAAGACUCCAUCCUCCCAACCCUAAUCCCAACCUCCCUCUAUCCAUUUUUCUCAUCUUCCCGCUGCUAUUGCCACUGCCACCGUCCGCUGCUGCAUCCCCCCUCCCCUCCUUCAACCUGCGCAACCACAUUCCUCCCUCGCUUUGUAUUGCCUAUCUCAUCAUUUCCCUUUUUGCUCCUCGUCGAUGCACCCUUUCACCCGCUUUUGCUGCUAGCGCACAUGUCCUAUCUCUCUCUCUCACUCUCUCACUCUCUCAGCUUUCGACGAGAAUCACCACCGUCGUACUGUCGCCUCCAAUUGAUGAUUACACACUUUUAUCAUUAUUACUUACUUUUGCAAAAAAAAGUGUAAUAGUGUUAAAAUAAAUUGUUACAUGAUUUUCACAAUUUCGAAAAAAUUAUGUAACAAUGUAUUUUCUAUUUAGUGCUAUAAUUUACACAAUUACACAAUAUAAAAGUAUUUUGAUAAAGAAAAAUGUUACUAUUUCUAUAUGUUUAUCCAUAUUAGAAUUUUCUUUUAUUAUAAUCUAUACUAUAUUAAAACAGCAGUUUUUAAUUAGAAAUUAAUUUCAAAUCAAUUUCAAAUUGAUUUGAAUGGCAAUUUUGAAAAUAUAUUCAACAUGAAGGUUACAAAUAAAUUAUAUCCCACUCACCCCACUAUCUCACUUACACAUUAACUCAUUCAAAAAAUUCAAAUAAAUCCACUAAUAUAUUAUAAAAACUAACGAGCAAUUCUUAAAACUAAAUUU